rnacentral:rRNA from 1 species
AGAGUUUGAUCAUGGCUCAGAAUGAACGUUGGCGGCGUGGAUUAGGCAUGCAAGUCGCACGCCCCGCAAGGGGAGUGGCGCAAGGGUGAGUAAGGCGACGGUAACCAACCCCCCGGACGGGCAUAGCCGCGGGAAACCGCGGGUAAUUCCCGGCGACGUCCGAGGCCGGCAUCGGCCCCGGACCACAGUUCCGGCGCCGGGGGACGGGCCGUCGUGGUAUUAGCUAGUUGGCGGGGUGACGGCCCACCAAGGCGGCGAUGCCUACCGGGCGUGCGAGCGUGGCCCGGCACACUGGGACUGAGACACUGCCCAGACUCCUACGGGAGGCUGCAGUCGAGAAUCUUCGGCAAUGGGCGCAAGUCUGACCGAGCGACGCCGCGUGGAGGAC